AUUGAACGCUGGCGGCAGGCUUAACACAUGCAAGUCGAGCGGGGUGAUGGUGCUUGCACUAUCACUCAGCGGCGGACGGGUGAGUAAUGCUUAGGAAUCUGCCUAUUAGUGGGGGACAACAUCUCGAAAGGGAUGCUAAUACCGCAUACGUCCUACGGGAGAAAGCAGGGGAUCUUUAUGACCUUGCGCUAAUAGAUGAGCCUAAGUCGGAUUAGCUAGUUGGUGGGGUAAAGGCCUACCAAGGCGACGAUCUGUAGCGGGUCUGAGAGGAUGAUCGGCCACACUGGGAGUGAGACACGGCCCAGACUCCUACGGGGGGCGGCAGUGGGGAAUAUUGGACAAUGGGGGGAACCCUGAUCCAGCCAUGCCGCGUGUGUGAAGAAGGCCUUAUGGUUGUAAAGCACCUUAAGCGAGGAGGAGGCUCUUUUGGUUAAUACCCAGAAUGAGUGGACGUUACUCGCAGAAUAAGCACCGGCUAACUCUGUGCCAGCAGCCGCGGUAACAC
rnacentral:rRNA from 1 species